rnacentral:lncRNA from 7 species
CCAGAAGCAAGCAUCUCUGUGGAGGAAGGCAAAGGGCGGAGGAGGUUCAGGGUAGCUACCGGGCAUGGCCUUGCUCAGCAAGGGAGGAAAAGCCUGAAGGGCACGAGAAGGGGAUAGAGAAGGGCAGGCAGUAGGCGUGAAGCUGCGAGCAGAGUAGAGAGCAACUUGGCAGAGCAGCAGCAGAGUAGGCAAGUGUUGAGGUUUGGCGUGAGUAGCAGCAAAAGCCCAGAGCAUCAAGAAGCAGGAAGUGAGGAGAAGGAAUGGAGGAAUCUGUCCAGAGCUGUGCCCCUGCUUGCCACAGGAGCUGCGCGGGAGGAGAAGAACGUGGGCCAAAAGGUAAGAGGAGCUCCUUUGGGUUCUGGGCUUGAAGCAAAGCUGAGAAGCCAUGCCCGGGAGGAGGUGUGGGUAGCUACAGGCCACCUUGCUAUCUCCCCAAGAGAUGAGGUGUGUGGGCUAGGCACCGGGCAGGAGUGCUGGCCAGAAGCAAGCAUCUCUGUGGAGGAAGGCAAAGGGCGGAGGAGGUUCAAGGGUAGCUACCGGGCAUGGCCUUGCUCAGCAAGGGGAGGAAAAGCCUGAAGGGCACGAGAAGGGGAUAGAGAAGGGCAGGCAGUAGGCGUGAAGCUGCGAGCAGAGUAGAGAGCAACUUGGCAGAGCAGCAAGCAGAGUAGGCAAGUGUUGAGGUUUGGCGUGAGUAGCAGCAAAAGCCCAGAGCAUCAAGAAGCAGGAAGUGAGGAGAAGGUAAGUGAAGGGCAGGCAAGGUAAUGGGAGGCAAAGGCAAGGGGAAAGGGGGGGUAAGGGAGAAAGAAGGGAUGGGGAUGGGGAGGGGAUGGGUGAAGAGCAGAGCGGAGGGAAGGGCUGAGGGGAGGGCUGAAGGCAAACCUAUGAUGAAAAAAGAAAAGAAAAAAUAAGAACAAAAAAUAUGAAAAAAGAGAAAAAAAGAGAAAAAAGAAAAAAAGAGAAAAUGAAAAGAAAAAAAAGAAAAAUGAACAAAAAAGAGUAAAAAGAGAAAAAAAUGAAAAAAAGAAAAAAGAGAAAAGAAAAAAGAAAAAUGAACAAAAAAGAGAAAAAGAGAAAAAAAAAAAAGAAAAAAGAAAAGAAAAGAAAGAAAAAAGAAAAAGAAAAAAAAGAGAAGAAAAGAUGAAAAAAAGAAAAAAGAAAAAAAGAAAGAAAAAAAAAAAGAAAAGAAGAAAAAAAAAAAAAGAAAAAAAAAAAAAAAAAAAGAAAAAAAAAAAAAACGAAUAAUGACAAGAGAAGAAAGGUAAAGAGAAAAGAAGAAAAAAGCCAAGUCAAAAAGUAAAGAAUAACUCGAAGGAAGGAGUGGAUGGCAAGAAAUACAGAGAAAGCAGUGCAUAGCACAGCAGAGCAAAGCAAGGCAAAAUAGCAGCCAAAGCCACGAGAAUCAAGAAGUCAGUGAAGAGCAGGAAAGGUAAGUUUCCCUUAAAGCAAGGGGGAAUGGUAGUGGAAGGGAGAAAAGAGAGGGGAGGGGAGGG